rnacentral:rRNA from 1 species
GAUGAACGCUGGCGGCGUGCCUAAUACAUGCAAGUCGAGCGAACGGACGAGAAGCUUGCUUCCCUGAUGUUAGCGGCGGACGGGUGAGUAACACGUGGAUAACCUACCUAUAAGACUGGGAUAACUUCGGGAAACCGGAGCUAAUACCGGAUAAUAUUUUGAACCGCAUGGUUCAAAAGUGAAAGACGGUCUUGCUGUCACUUAUAGAUGGAUCCGCGCUGCAUUAGCUAGUUGGUAAGGUAACGGCUUACCAAGGCAACGAUGCAUAGCCGACCUGAGAGGGUGAUCGGCCACACUGGAACUGAGACACGGUCCAGACUCCUACGGGAGGCAGCAGUAGGGAAUCUUCCGCAAAGGGCGAAAGCCUGACGGAGCAACGCCGCGUGGGUGAUGAAGGUCUUCGGAUCGUAAAACUCUGUUAUUAGGGAAGAACAUAUGUGUAAGUAACUGUGCACAUCUUGACGGUACCUAAUCAGAAAGCCACGGCUAACUACGUG